AAAACCCACCCAACAUCCUCUACCCUCCAGCCCCACACAGCCUACAGAGCUUGUUGUGAUGGCAUGCUGGGAAGGACACAAACGGACGGUGCUUAGAACAAGUGCGUGUGCUGUGCAUCUGGAACAUCUUUGCAAGAUGCUUUCUGCCUUCCCCAGAUGUACCUGGACGCUACAGCCCUUUGAAAUACAACCUGAGCGGCAGAUUUACGACCAUCAAACCGCGUCUUUAUCCCGACGUGAAACAGAGCAAUGGCUGUGCGAAGCGGUUAUCCGGAGGGGGUGAGCUUGUGACGGAGGGUUAAUCACGGGGAGUUCCAUUAAUCAUUCAGCUGCUGGCUCGGAAAAUUAGCUUCCACUUGUUUGUUUGCUCAAGAGGAGAUAAGCCGGUUCCCUUGCUAACUCAUCUAUUUUCUUCCCCUCGCAUUGUUUUAGAGAUUUUAAUCCUUUCCCAUUUCUGUAAUCAGUCACUUUGGUCUUUUAGCAGCGCGGCUUACAAGCAGCAGCAAUUACUGCGUGAGAGCCGGCAUUUCUCUGCAGGAGAGGCAGCUGGCACGGAUUCCCCCCGGCAGGAGCAGCCCCGUCCUUCCAGCAGCCCGAGCUGCAGCGUUCACGCCGCGUCCCGGCGGUUUUCCUUCCCUGGAAAGCCAGAAAGUGCCACCUUGUAACCCUUCUCGCUCUCAACGUUUGAAUAACCACGGACAGCGGGUCAAACCGCGAACAGAAGUGCGUUCCCAGGGUGACACCCCAGCCACCACUUGCCCUCCAUCCUCCCCUGAGCGCACGGUGUCCCUGAGGGCAGCCCGAUGCCCCCAGCCCUGACCUGCUGUUUUCCCAGAGGAGCCUCACGACUUUUGCCCCAGCCCGCCCGUCCGUUCUGCUCCUGGCGCCCCGCAGCAUCACUCAGCCUUGUGUGAACCAUCCCUACCUCCCUCGGUUCGGGCUGUGAGAGCACCGGGCUCGCCCGAGGAAAGCCUUCAACCCUGGCUGCUUUUGCAAAGCUCCCAGGCGUUUCACACUCGCUCUUUCACAGCAAAACUAAGCUAGAAAUGAAAAGCUGAUAUUUUUUUGGAGGGAGGCAGAGGGAGUCCUGCUCCCAGCCUGGGUUUCUUUGCACUGCAUCAGCAACAAGCCACCCUCCAUGAGCUGCUUGCGACCAUUGCCAUCGAACUGACUGCAAAAUGAGGGGUCUUUAGCUUAGGCAUUUGCUGGAUACCUUGGCAAAAAAAGAAAAAAUUAAAAAAAAUAAUCCAUGAGCAGAGGCUGACUGCAAAUGAGCAGUCACAGCUCCCACAAGGGACGUAAAUAAUUUGGGGCUGCACUCUUUUUUCUUAAUGCACGGUGUCUGUUCCCAAUUAGGGAAAACCAAUGUCUUGCAAACGCUUUGCUUCCCCAGCAGCAGCUCCAGGGGCAGCAGUGUGGUGCUAUGACAACACCGUGCACUGCAGGUGCGUGCAGCACAGUUGCACCGAUCCAUCAGCUUCCCACUCCAUCCUUCCCAGUUGUUGGGGCUUAGAUGCAGCAGAGCUGGGAUAUCCCUCUCCCUUCGCUUUUUUUCCAUCCGGCUUUUUCUUUGCUUUCCCCCUGCCCACCAGCUGCACCCUGCCAGCAUUGCCUUGGCACUGCUCCUGUGGCACCAGACCAGAGACAGCGCAGUGCCGUAGGGCUGCACACCAACCCUAAUUGCAGCUCCAAGCAUCACUGCUUCCCCUUUGGGGGUUAAAACCUGGAUUUCCAAGAAAAACACAACAUUUCAGAGUGGCAAAACUUGUAUCUGAUAAGGAUUUCCAGACAAAAUCUGACUGGAUUAGGGAAAAAAAAAUUAGGAAAAAACAAACAAACAAACAACAGUUUCUGCAACAGAGUAUUUUCCUUGUCAUAUUCUCUGUAAU